rnacentral:tRNA from 1 species
AGGGGACCAUCGAAAUAAAAGAAGCUGCUAACUAUCUUUUAAAGCGGUUAAAUUCCGUUUAUCCCUUA